GACGAACGCUGGCGGCGUGCUUAACACAUGCAAGUCGAACGGAAAGGCCCUGCUUUUGUGGGGUGCUCGAGUGGCGAACGGGUGAGUAACACGUGAGUAACCUGCCCUUGACUUUGGGAUAACUUCAGGAGACUGGGGCUAAUACCGGAUAGGAGCUCCUGCUGCAUGGUGGGGGUUGGACAGUUUCGGCGGGUGGGGAAGGACUCGCGGCUUAUCAGCUUGUUGGUGGGGUAGUGGCUUACCAAGGCUUUGACGGGUAGCCGGCCUGAGAGGGUGGCCGGCCACAUUGGGACUGCGAUACGGCCCAGACUCCUACGGGAGGCAGCAGUGGGGUAUAUUGCACUAUGGGCGGAAGCCUAAUGCAGCAACGCCGCGUGCGGGAUGACGGCCUUCGGGUUGGUAACCGCUUUCGCCUGUGACGAAGCGUGAGUGACGGUAAUGGGUAAAGAAGCACCGGCUAACUACGUG
rnacentral:rRNA from 1 species